CACGUAGGGCGCAAGCGUUGUCCGGAAUUAUUGGGCGUAAAGAGCUCGUAGGCGGUCUGUUACGUCUGCUGUGAAAACCCUGGGCUUAACCCUGGGCUUGCAGUGGAUACGGGCAGACUAGAGGCAGGUAGGGGAGAAUGGAAUUCCCGGUGUAGCGGUGAAAUGCGCAGAUAUCGGGAGGAACACCGGUGGCGAAGGCGGUUCUCUGGGCCUGUACUGACGCUGAGGAGCGAAAGCGUGGGGAGCGAACAGG
rnacentral:rRNA from 1 species